CACAUAGCUUGCAUCACUGCUCACGUCUCCGUGUAACUCACAAUAAAGAGACUUUGGCAUCAACUGUGAGCUUAGGGGUAGAAGAAGGGUAUAUGUUAGGAGGUGGGAGCGGAAUCAAUUCUUCAAAGCUUAAGGAUGGUGAAGAAGAGUGCUCACCAGAUUCCCUUCUGGUCUGGAAAAAGAAAUUCCUUCUUUUGUGGAUGUCAUCUCUACCAUCUCUCGGUAAAAAAAUUUUCAAGUGACUCCUAAGAUGGAGAGAGCAUUGGAAGUCAACUGGCCCAUUCCCCUCAUGCAACUCAAAGCUUCUUUGUAAGAAAAAUACUCCCAGAAGUUUGUUUGCAUUAUGAAGAUCAGGUCUUGAGAGACCCAGUCUGGCUCUUCCCUGUACAAAACAUUCCUCACAAACAGAAUGUGGACAAUUGCCAAAUGUCAAAGGUAAAGUUAUUGUGGGAACUCCUUCAAAAAGUUCAAGUGAGAGCUCAUUCUAUAAGGGACCAUUUACACCUAAUUUUUUUGUGUGUGCUAUGUUACUUAUUCUGAAGUGGUUGAUCCAAUUACUAAAAGGGAAUAUUGCAUUACCUUUUAUUUCCUAUAGCAUCCAUUCUGACCCCUUUAUCAGUUUGAUUAUCCUCUGAUUCCAUUCUUCAUUCACUCAUUUAUUUGAGAAAUAUUUAUUGACCAACAAGUAUGCCAGAUCCUGUUCUAUGUGUAGGGACUAUAAAGUUGAACAAGACAGAGGAGGUACUGGCCUCAGAAUUUACAUUCUAGUAGAAGAUGAGAAAGUAAAAAUAAACACAUGGAAACAUGAAUGAACUGGAUAUUACAGACUGUGAUAGGUAUAGUUUGGGUAAAGCACAGAGUGCAGUACUAAAGAUAAACUGGGCUCAGAGUGGAGCUAUUUUAGAUGGAAUGGAGAUCUCUGAGGAAAUGAAAUUUGAGCUGAGACCUAAAAGGUCACCCAAGGACUCAUGGGAGAACUCAUUUGUUUGUGUCAAAAUUUAGCUUCAUGAACUCCAGGCCCUUGCAAAUGAUGGUUACCAGGUGAGAAAUGUCUCACUGGCAACAGAAGUUGGCAGACCCAGCUCCAGUUCCAUCCUGGCCAACAUGCCAAUGUCAUUAAAAUAAGGCCAUUCAUCAAGGUGGAGACUAUUACUAGAAACAAGCAUUCUAAAGUGCCAUUCGAGUGCUAGGCCCUCAACACUGGGCAUAACACUGCUCUGUGUGGCUCUUGAGAGCAAGUACUGAGGCAUGACCAAAAAAAUUAAGUCCCAUGUAAGUGAUGCAACUGCUCCCCAAUUACUGUGGAAGUAUCUGCAGACUAUUGUGCGUGUGUGUUUGUUUGCUUUAGUGAAUAAAUUCAGUCAACCAAC